GUGCUCACUUCGGCAGCACAUAUACUAAAAUUAGAACAAUACAGAGAUUAGAUGGCUCUUGUGCAAGGAUGACACACCAAUUCGAGAAGUGUUCCAUAUUAAA